AAUCAGUUGUCCACCGUGGCCAUUCUGCCCUCGACUGUCCGGCCUGGUCGUCCAAUGAUGGCCGCACGCGCCAACAAACCAAAUACUGACGUGUCUUCCACGUCGGAUGUGAAGAGGAUGGUUCAGAAACCCUCGGAUCUCUUAUGUGGAUUUUAAUAAUUUAAUAAUUUAUUUUAAUAACUAAAUUAUUCUUUCUUUCUUCUUCUGUUAUUUUCGGAUGCGUUUUACAAAGAUAUUAAUAUAUUAUAUCAAUAUAACUAAACAAAAGUAUAUUACUUAGAAAUUGUUAAAUUGACCCACCCUUUAUUAAAUCAACCCAUCAUGUGAUAAUAGGCAUUACUGUCAUGUGUUUCAUUUUCCAGUUGUAAGCCUUUAAAAAUUGCUACUGGCCCCAAUACUCCAUGGCAUCAGCGAGAACAUUUUUAGCUAUUAAAAAUACACAAAUAUUAGGAUA
rnacentral:lncRNA from 1 species